rnacentral:SRP_RNA from 1 species
UUGUGCUGUGCAUAGUAAAUAGCCCACAGCUGUAGUCUUAGCUACUUGGGCAGCUGAGGCAGGAGAAUUACUUGGGCCCAGGAGUUCUAGGCUGUAGUACGCUAUGCCAAUCGGGUGUCUACACUAAGUUGAGCAUCAAAACAGUGGCCUCUCAGGAGUGGGAGACCACUGUGUUGCCUAAGGGGUCAAGUGGCCCAAGUUGGAAAUGGAACAGGUCAAAGUUCCCAUGCUGAUCAGUAGUGGGAUUGCACCUGUCAAAAAACCACUGCACUCUAGCCUGGAAAAGCAUAGCAAGACCCUGUCUCU